UACGUAGGGUGCGAGCGUUGUCCGGAAUUAUUGGGCGUAAAGGGCUCGUAGGCGGCUCGUUGCGUCGGCUGUGAAAACCCGCAGCUCAACUGUGGGCUUGCAGCUGAUACGGGCGGGCUGGAGUUCGGUAGGGGAGACUGGAAUUCCUGGUGUAGCGGUGAAAUGCGCAGAUAUCAGGAGGAACACCGGUGGCGAAGGCGGGUCUCUGGGCCGAUACUGACGCUGAGGAGCGAAAGCGUGGGGAGCGAACAGG
rnacentral:rRNA from 1 species